AAGGAUAUUCUUUCACAGGAGAGAGGGCAGGGGUCUGAUAAGUGUCCGGACACUUAUCAGACCCCUGCCCUCUCUCCUGUGAAAGAAUAUCCUU
rfam:Nicotiana sylvestris Nsyl_contig362353, whole genome shotgun sequence.